AAGGAAAUAGCUCAGUGGUAGAGCUGCAUGCUUAAAAUGCAUGAGGUCCUGAGUUCAAUCCUCACUUCCUUCA
rnacentral:tRNA from 1 species